rnacentral:misc_RNA from 1 species
UGUGGGAGCGGGCUUGCUCGCGAUUGGAACGGUGCGGUGUGACUGUCUGACCGAGUCGCUUGCAUCGCGAGCAAGCCCGCUCCCACA